UUAAUUUCCUUCUCCCUUGCUUUUAUCCUCACCUGGCAUGUUCAUUCUAAUCCUAGCUUUGACUCAGAAACGGGAUUACCACAAAGGAACAUGUGUGUGCUCAAGAAGCUGAAAUCUGUAGAUCAGUCAGGGAAUGUAAUAUUUGAUUGAAGACCCACAUCAGGUGCAGUGCCUUUUUAUAGCACGCAUUACAACAAAUAGCCCAAGAAUAACCCAAUCUGUCUGGAAGACACUGUGAAAUUCUAAUACUUCUAAUAAGCUGAGAAGACAGAACUGUAGGGAAAUGGGAACUUGACCUGUACCACAGAAUAGCAAAAUAAUGAUUUAAUGAAGGGCUGACCAGCCCCACCCCUUUUGGUACUCAUGCUGGAGAGUGGGCCCUGGUCAAAAAAAGAUUGGUAACCACUGCUAUAUAUGGAGAAAUCAUGACAUUUUGGAGGAAAAGGCAAUUAUUGCUCUCAUGUGGCUCCUAGAAGGCUACCAAAUGUAAAAAGCUUUAGCAUUCAGGAGGAACAUAACCCUGGCCCUCAUUGCAAAAGACCAUGCAGAUCCAGAAUAGGUUUCCACAGUCAUUUAUGGACCCAGUAUCAAGAAUCUUCCUUUGGAAGACAACCAUACUCGGCUACGAGUGAUCGCCUCUGUUGGUGAAACACUUAACAUGAUCCAUUCAGAUCCCUUGUUUAAGGAAUGUGAACUCAAGAUAAACAAUUAGUUUAUUAAACUACACAAAACAAGCAUUUGUUGCCCAAACAGAAAGUAUUCAUAAACAUACACUACAAAAAUGAAAUUGGUACAGUUAAAGGUUCACAUUGGUUAAGAAAAGUGUAUCAAAUGAUGUUUAGUUUUCAAUGUAAUAAGUGAGUUAUUAAAAAUAUACAAAUAGGCAAUUUUAUGUUGUUUUCUGUAUUUAGGAGCAGAGCUAUGCAAAAUAUUGUCAUUAUCAGUUCUCAGAACUCUGUCCACUGAAAGGCCAAAAUAAUAAAAAUAAAAUGGUGCCCAUUCUCAAAGUUACUUUCAUAGAUCUUUUUUGUUUCAAAUGAGAUGGUUAUUGCAAUAAACAAUUGUCAAAAUAUUUUAA